CAGGGACAGGAGCACACACCAUGAUUUCACACAUCCAGCUGAUCUGGCCCCUGGCAUUCUGUGUCGCAGGUAUCAGUGGGGACACCAUCAUGACUCAGUCUCCCCCAGUGCUGUCAGUGGAACUGGGCCAGACUGCAACCAUCACCUGUAAAUCCAGUCAGAUUGCCAGUAGUAAUGUUGAAUGGUUCCAGCAGCGGGAAGGACGGAAACCCUCUCUCCUGAUCUACAAUGCAGCAUCACGAUUCACAGGAGUCUCCAACAGAUUCACCGGGACAGAAGUGUCCAGCACACACUUCACCCUGACAAUCAGCAACGUUCAGAAUGAGGAUGUCGCUGAUUAUUACUGUCAGCAAAGUUACGACUCCCCUCACACGUUCGGUAAAGGAACCAAGCUCAGACUGAGCCAUGACAACUCUCAGCCAAAGCUGACCCUGCUGCCCCCUUCCCCGGAGCAGGUCAAUGCCAAGGGCACUGCCACCCUGGUGUGCCUUGCUAAUCACUUCUAUCCCGAUGAGCUGGAGGUGCAGUGGAAGAAGGACGGUGCAGUCAUUUCGGACGGGGUUCAGACCAGCAACUACCUGCGAGCUUCGGACAGCACCUACAGUGUCAGCAGCCUGCUGACCCUCUCUGGGUCUGACUGGGAGUCCAACGCUCGCUUCUCCUGUGCCCUCACCCACGUGACCCUCCCCUCUCCCCUCAGCAAGAGCAUCAGGAGAUCAGAAUGUGUGUAGAGUGUUGGAGACAGUCCACAGAGGAGACACAACUUUAAAUAGAACAGGGCUGAGCUGGCAGGACAAAGGUCAUUGCCAGCACUGAAUUUCAACUCUCUUCCUUCUCAGGACUGGCUUGGUGACACUUCUGAGGUUCAAGGAUUAAGGCAGGUCAUAGGGAUCAUCAAAAGGAAGCUUUAACUCUGUAUCAAACCCCAUGCUGACCCUGUUCUGGGAGUGUUUUAUGGGGACAGUGAUGACUUGUGAUGCCAAGUAAAACUUCUCGAAGAUGCUGAAAACUGUCAGUUGUACAAAACAAUGUGAACCUCUAAAAUCUCUGCUUCAGUAAACCAGAUCUCCUUCCUGCUCGGCCGUCAGUUCGAAUUUAAGCUUCUGUCACUACUGAAAGGGACAGGAUUCUCAGGUUAUUGAGAAAAUCUCCACAAGUGUUUUCCUCAAACUCCAUUGUAGAUGUGAAUUUGUGCAGCUUCCUCUGUCUAGACUGUCAAUUGCAGUCUGUUUUCUGUCAAGGUCAAUCUGGAAAAGGAAAUAAAGAUCAAGAAGAUUUAGUCUCUUUCUCGUGUGUGCUUUGGAAAUGGCCAGAGCUACUGGGAAUCCUAUAUUGAUGAAUAUGACCAGCAGCAUCUUGUUACUCAGAAU